AACGCACCUUGCGCUCCCUGGUAUUCCGGGGAGCACGCCUGUUCGAGUGUCGCGAAAUUUCUCAAGCUUGGAUGGCCUUUAUGUCUGUCCUUAGCCUUGGUUGUUGGGCUUUGCCGUGUCCUUUAUUGGGACGGCUGGCCUUAAAUGCAUUAGCUGAUCCUUGUGUGGCACUGGUUCUACUCAGCGUGAUAAUAGUCUGAUCGCUGAGGACAUCUUUCGGGAUGGCCAGUCCUCAUUUGGGUUGCUUCUAAACUUGGUGUUGCAAUCUGUAAUGCCACUUUUCAGCUUUGACCUCGAAUCAGGUGGGACUACCCGCUGAACUUAA
rnacentral:misc_RNA from 3 species